rnacentral:rRNA from 1 species
GAACGAAGCCUUCGGGCUUAAUGGCGCACGGGUGCGUAACGCGUGGGAAUCUGCCCUUGGGUUCGGAAUAACAGUUAGAAAUGACUGCUAAUACCGGAUGAUGACGUAAGUCCAAAGAUUUAUCGCCCAGGGGAUGAGCCCGCGUAGGAUUAGCUAGUUGGUGAGGUAAAAGCUCACCAAGGUGACGAUCCUUAGCUGGUCUGAGAGGAUGAUCAGCCACACUGGGACUGAGACACGGCCCAGACUCCUACGGGAGGCAGCAGUGGGGAAUAUUGGACAAUGGGCGAAAGCCUGAUCCAGCAAUGCCGCGUGAGUGAUGAACGCCUUAGGGUUGUAAAGCUCUUUUACCCGGGAUGAUAAUGACAGUACCGGGAGAAUAAGCUCCGGCUAACUCCGUG